rnacentral:rRNA from 1 species
UACGUAGGGUGCAAGCGUUGUCCGGAUUUAUUGGGCGUAAAGAGCUCGUAGGCGGUUUAGAAAGUCGGGUGUGAAACCUCCAGGCUCAACCUGGAGACGCCACUCGAUACUUCUAUGACUUGAGUUCGGUAGGGGUAAGCGGAAUUCCUGGUGUAGCGGUGAAAUGCGUAGAUAUCGGAAGGAACACCAGUGGCGAAAGCGGCUUCCUGGUCCAGCAUCGACGUUCAGGCACGAAAGCGUGGGGAGCAAACAGG